UGAAAAGCGAGUAUGGUUUUCCGAUACUUGAUUCUCAGGGAUAUUAUUUGCACAGGGCGACCAGAACUGUCCAGGAGACGCCUCGCCAACGUCAAAUAACCUCAAAAUGACGUCUCAACACUCAUAUUCAAAGAUGCGAGCAAUGAAGGGAUCACAAUGCUCCAAUAAGACGAAUUGUGCGAACAUAUAUGGUUUGUGCACCUCAUCUUGAACCCUGGUCAACUGUUGUUUACUCGUCGCAAUUUGCUGGAAAGCAAAUAUUUGGAUUCUGACACAUGCAGGGAGAAGCAACUGAAAUCGUGCAUUGUGCUGCGUUGGAUUUGAGCAGAGACAAGAAAUCGUUACGACAAUAAUGUGAAAAGAAAAAUAUAUAUCCGCCAAGACUGAACGAGUACUAGCCUUUGAUGAGAUGAUUGCACAGAGAAAACGAGAAUGCAGAAAAAUGAAGAAUGAAUUUCAGAAUACACCCAUUUGUAGAAAAAAAAACACACGGUCUACAUAGAAACAAAAUUAUCGGGAACAAAUAUUUAGAUACAAAUGUUAUGAGAUUGGUGCUGAUAUUUUAUAAUCCAGUUCUUCCGAAAUGGCAUUACACAUCCACUGAAGUAGUUGGGACCCGACUCCAACCUCCUUGCACAGCGGUAGGAAAACUACCACCCAUCCACAAGAAAUUUUGCUUUCAUUUAUCUGUAAUGUCAACUCAGGCUUCUGCAUACCGUAUGAUUCUACUUGAUGUAACAAUG